rnacentral:rRNA from 1 species
GUCUUUUAAUUGAAGACUUGUAUGAAUGAUUUGAUGAAAUAUAAACUGUCUCUUUAUUAAAAAUAGAAUUUAAUUUUUUAGUUAAAAAGCUAAAAUUUAUUUAAAAGACGAGAAGACCCUAUAGAGUUUUAUAUUUAAAAUUAUAUUAAUUUUGUAUAAAAUUUUUAUUUAAUAUUUUUUUAAGUAUUUUAUUGGGGUGAUAGAAAAAUUUAAUAAACUUUUUUAAAAAUUUUACAUUAAUAUAUGAAAUUUUGAUCCAUAAUUUAUGAUUAAAAGAUUAAAUUACCUUAGGGAUAACAGCGUAAUUUUUUUUUUUAGUUCUUAUAAGAAAAAAAGUUUGCGACCUCGAUGUUGGAUUAAG